rnacentral:pre_miRNA from 1 species
AGUGGGAUACCUGGGUCAAAUGGGGGUUCUAUUCCAAGUUUUCUGAGGAAUCUCCAAAUUGCUUUCAAGAGUGGUUGCACCAAUUUGCAGUCCCACCAGCAAU